UAUUGAAUGUAUAUCAAAGUUUGUUUACUUUCUUCCAUUUGCAUGCCUUUAAUAAUUCAACAAUAUCCACUACUUCUCUUCCUGUAGUCUUUAUCUUAUCCUCAGCCCUUAUCCACUCCACAUCUUCACAAUCCUAUAAAUGCGACACUUGGCAUUCAGGUUUCAGUAAAAUUCACAAUAUUCAGUAAAUUAGUAGUCAUAAUAUACCUUCGAGAAUGUAAUUGAAGGAAGUAACGAAUGAAGAAGUCGCCGAUCAAUCCACAUGCAAUGAAAAUGGAGAAUAGAGAUAGAAAGAUAAAGUUUGAUAGAGCAAGAAGUGGAAGAGGCGGUGGAAGAUUUAUGGAAACGCCACGUAACCCCAUGUAAGCCGGUAGAAAAUGGAAGGAGGCAACACGCGUGCAACUCCAAAUUCAAGGGUCAUCGACUAAUCGACUAAACAGUUCCAAAAGUGAUGAAUAAAUAAAAACAAAAAAUCUAUGGAAAAUUAGAGAAAAGUAAGGAACAAACGGAACGCUGUUAAAUAUUGGGGCAAAAAGACAAAAAAGAAAACUUUAAUAUCUUAAGGACUAAAACUGUCAAAAGAAGCAAAGAAAUAUGGCAAAAGGAUGAAACAGUCAAAGAAGCUAGGAAUGAUGAACAUAUUCUUGUUUACUUA